CAUCUUGUGGGCUGAAUGGGGCCGUCACACAGAGAUGACUCGCCUCAGGUUGAGGGUAGGUUCCUACUUUGGCGGGGAACAACCUCCCUUUCUACUGUCGCCUCGCCACCACUUCCAGUAUGGAGACAAUGCGUGGCACGUGUCCGUCCCAUUAUUUCUAAUCGUGCGGUCAAAAGCCGCCCAAAAAGGCAGAACGUCUACUAUCCCCGAGACGACGUAGUUUUCCUCCACAUCCAAAAAUUAAAAUAUAAGUCCUACGGCAACGACAGCGUUUCCAAGUUCAUCGGUCUCUCUAGCAUAAACAGUUCCAGAGGCCACUUAUCGCCAGACAUCGCUGCUCACUCGGGUCUGCCCCCUCACAGUUCAGAGCCUCUCUUCGAUCUAAAGUCGCCCAGAAACAUGCUGGGGUCAUCUCGAAUCCCUUCCCACUCUCCCAAGAAGCAGCAACCGAAGCAAGAAAGAGAAUGGUUAGCAUUAAGCUUCAAGCCAGAGAACUUCAUCCCAGGCCUUGUCAUUGGUUUUAUAUUUGGGUUGUUGUUGGAUCUAUCCAAACCCUCCAAGAAUCAUGUAAAGAAGAAAAAUUUCUCUCCAGGAAAUCUCCAACAGAAAUAUGCGGUCUCAAAUAAUGGUGACCAAGAGCUCAAACUGGUUCUUGUAGUUAGACAAGAUCUGAAGAUGAAAUCAGGAAAGAUUGCGUCUCAAUGUGCUCAUGCUGCCACUGGCAUGUAUGCGGAACUAAUGCAAAGGUAUCCUUGCGCAGAUUAUGAGUCUCCUCCUUGUGCGGAGGAACCUGCAAUCUCGUUCCUCAUAGUAUUUUUUCAUGUGCCUGAAAUUUUUACACUUCAUGCUUUCGUCCUUUCUGCUAUUCAACAUUUUUCAACCUUGAAAAGUGAAUUUCUACCUACAACUGAUAUAUAUUUUGUCUUUCACCCUAUUUAGCCAUAUGCCUGAUAUAAAAUUUAGUUGCUUUGUAGAAUUGUUUAGAAUAUGUAAAAAACGGUGUGACUUGGGACAUAUAAGAAGAAUUAGUGCCUUUUCAACUCGUGGAAACCUUGCACAUAAUUUUCAGGUUUCUGGUCAUGAAUACAAUCACCGGUCCCUUUUGAGAGAAUGGGAACAAUGUGGUCAACCUAAAAUAGUUGUCACAUGCAAGAAUCAACAAGAAAUGAAUAAGCUGAAGGAUGCAGCUGAGAGCAUUGGCCUUCCAACUUUUGUAGUUGCUGAUGCUGG